rnacentral:sRNA from 1 species
GCCACUAGGAAUUUAUACUAGGUUUUACAUGUAAAUUCCCUCUCAUUAUUUCUUCUGCUUUCAUCUACAGUGGAGAUAUAUCAAUUCCCUUCUGACUGAGUUCACCUGCUAUAUCAGCACAGGAUUUCUCUCUCCCAUAUCAAUCAUGGUGUACCUUGGCGAGGAUAUGUUCUUGGGCUGACUGCUGUUUUGUGGGUCGUCCAGAGCGAGGAGCAUCUUUUAAUCAGUCAUCACAGAUAUGAAGAUAGAAAAGAUCUGGGUUAAAGCCACAAUCUUGAGCAGUUCUAUAGAUACAAUUGAUGGUUUGGAU